rnacentral:rRNA from 1 species
UACGUAGGUGACCAGCGUUGUCCGGAUUUACUGGGCGUAAAGAGCGCGCAGGCGGUCGUUCAAGUCGAGUGUGAAAGCCCCCGGCUCAACUGGGGAGGGUCACUCGAUACUGAUCGACUUGAAGGCAGGAGAGGGAAGCGGAAUUCCCGGUGUAGUGGUGAAAUGCGUAGAUAUCGGGAGGAACACCAGUGGCGAAGGCGGCUCACUGGCCCGAUACUGACGCUGAGGCACGGAAGCGUGGGGAGCAAACAGG